AAAUUGAAGAGUUUGAUCAUGGCUCAGAUUGAACGCUGGCGGCAGGCCUAACACAUGCAAGUCGAGCGGUAGCACAGAGAGCUUGCUCUCGGGUGACGAGCGGCGGACGGGUGAGUAAUGUCUGGGAAACUGCCUGAUGGAGGGGGAUAACUACUGGAAACGGUAGCUAAUACCGCAUAAUGUCGCAAGACCAAAGUGGGGGACCUUCGGGCCUCAUGCCAUCAGAUGUGCCCAGAUGGGAUUAGCUAGUAGGUGGGGUAACGGCUCACCUAGGCGACGAUCCCUAGCUGGUCUGAGAGGAUGACCAGCCACACUGGAACUGAGACACGGUCCAGACUCCUACGGGAGGCAGCAGUGGGGAAUAUUGCACAAUGGGCGCAAGCCUGAUGCAGCCAUGCCGCGUGUGUGAAGAAGGCCUUCGGGUUGUAAAGCACUUUCAGCGGGGAGGAAGGCGUUAAGGUUAAUAACCUUGGCGAUUGACGUUACCCGCAGAAGAAGCACCGGCUAACUCCGUGCCAGCAGCCGCGGUAAUACGGAGGGUGCAAGCGUUAAUCGGAAUUACUGGGCGUAAAGCGCACGCAGGCGGUCUUGUCAAGUCGGAUGUGAAAUCCCCGGGCUCAACCUGGGAACUGCAUUCGAAACUGGCAGGCUAGAGUCUUGUAGAGGGGGGUAGAAUUCCAGGUGUAGCGGUGAAAUGCGUAGAGAUCUGGAGGAAUACCGGUGGCGAAGGCGGCCCCCUGGACAAAGACUGACGCUCAGGUGCGAAAGCGUGGGGAGCAAACAGGAUUAGAUACCCUGGUAGUCCACGCCGUAAACGAUGUCGAUUUGGAGGUUGUGCCCUUGAGGCGUGGCUUCCGGAGCUAACGCGUUAAAUCGACCGCCUGGGGAGUACGGCCGCAAGGUUAAACUCAAAUGAAUUGACGGGGGCCCGCACAAGCGGUGGAGCAUGUGGUUUAAUUCGAUGCAACGCGAAGAACCUUACCUGGUCUUGACAUCCACAGAACUUUCCAGAGAUGGAUUGGUGCCUUCGGGAACUGUGAGACAGGUGCUGCAUGGCUGUCGUCAGCUCGUGUUGUGAAAUGUUGGGUUAAGUCCCGCAACGAGCGCAACCCUUAUCCUUUGUUGCCAGCGGUUCGGCCGGGAACUCAAAGGAGACUGCCAGUGAUAAACUGGAGGAAGGUGGGGAUGACGUCAAGUCAUCAUGGCCCUUACGACCAGGGCUACACACGUGCUACAAUGGCAUAUACAAAGAGAAGCGACCUCGCGAGAGCAAGCGGACCUCAUAAGUAUGUCGUAGUCCGGAUUGGAGUCUGCAACUCGACUCCAUGAAGUCGGAAUCGCUAGUAAUCGUAGAUCAGAAUGCUACGGUGAAUACGUUCCCGGGCCUUGUACACACCGCCCGUCACACCAUGGGAGUGGGUUGCAAAAGAAGUAGGUAGCUUAACCUUCGGGAGGGCGCUUACCACUUUGUGAUUCAUGACUGGGGUGAAGUCGUAACAAGGUAACCGUAGGGGAACCUGCGGUUGGAUCACCUCCUUA
rnacentral:rRNA from 1 species